UUUGCUGACGAGUGGCGGACGGGUGAGUAAAGCUUGGGAAUCUGUCUUAUGGAGGGGGAUAACUACGGGAAACUGUAGCUAAUACCGCAUAAAAUCUGAGGAUAAAAGGGUGGGCUCUUCGGACCACCUGCCAUAAGGUGAGCCCAAGUGGGAUUAGGUAGUUGGUGGGGUAAAGGCCUACCAAGCUGACGAUCUCUAGCUGGUCUGAGAGGAUGACCAGCCACACUGGAACUGAGACACGGUCCAG
rnacentral:rRNA from 1 species